rnacentral:rRNA from 1 species
AUUGAACGCUGGCGGCAGGCCUAACACAUGCAAGUCGAGCGGAUGAAGGGAGCUUGCUCCUGGAUUCAGCGGCGGACGGGUGAGUAAUGCCUAGGAAUCUGCCUGGUAGUGGGGGAUAACGUCCGGAAACGGGCGCUAAUACCGCAUACGUCCUGAGGGAGAAAGUGGGGGAUCUUCGGACCUCACGCUAUCAGAUGAGCCUAGGUCUGAUUAGCUAGUUGGUGGGGUAAAGGCCUACCAAGGCGACGAUCCGUAACUGGUCUGAGAGGAUGAGCAGUCACACUGGAACUGAGACACGGUCCAGACUCCUACGGGAGGCAGCAGUGGGGAAUAUUGGACAAAGGGCGAAAGCCUGAUCCAGCCAUGCCGCGUGUGUGAAGAAGGUCUUCGGAUUGUAAAGCACUUUAAGUUGGGAGGAAGGGCAGUAAGUUAAUACCUUGCUGUUUUGACGUUACCAACAGAAUAAGCACCGGCUAACUUCGUG